rnacentral:lncRNA from 1 species
AAGAUGCCUUAGGCCAAUUAAAAUAAAUUGAUAGAUUUUCAUCCCCGCCCGCCCCUCUGAAAUCGUCCCGCCCCGAUUUUUUUUAUUUUGAAAAAUUUACGAUUUCCGGAUUAGUUCAUCUCCGUUUCCGGUAACCGUCAAAAAUUUUGUUUCCUUUCAGACUUCCUGUUUCAAUUUUCGGUUUUCGUAUUACUUCGAGUAAUUAAAAAAGAUUCUGCAGCUCUACGAUGACAAAAUCGUCUACCGAGAAUAGAGAUUGAUUUCAAGAAGGGCAUGAAAUAAUCGGGUUACAAGUUAUACGCUGUGUCCAAGAUGGCAAAUCGCGGUAUGACACAAAUUUCUGUGAUUAAGAAAACCGUGGAUUUUUUUAUUGAUAAAAUGACUUUGUGGCAGGAAUUGUGGACUAUGAAUUAUACCCAAAGAGCUCGAAUCGUGGAACACAUUCGUACAAAACCAUAACUGUAUAAUUAAAAUGACGCAAGCUCGAACUUGUUAGAUUUAUGACCGUACAAUUGAGUUCAAAAAGUCGGCAAACAUACACUUAGAUUAACCCAUGGCUUUUUUAAUGACAAACAGCACAAACACCUUCUGUCCCAAUACCCUUAAGGUGGUACCCAACACUUUCACUAAAAUUAAUUUGGCUCGUUUAAUUUUCAUAAAAUUUUGUCAAAGUAUAAUUUACUUUGACACUUUAACAAAAAUAUAAAAAUUAAAAAAAAUUUGAACCAAUCGUUUUGUCAGAAAAAUUACACUGGUUAUAUAGCAAUUUGAUAAACGCCAAUUUUGAUCAUUGCGAAGCUUAAUAUUGCUUUUACAACACAACGUAAUUAAAACGUUUAGCUGACUUUACAGAGUUAUCUCCCUGUAGUGUUAGGUACCACCUUAAUAGAGCCAUUAAACAUCUUCUCUUUUUUGGUUAAGUUCAUGUUUUACAUAUUAAUCAUACAAGCACCAACCC